rnacentral:rRNA from 1 species
AUUGAACGCUGGCGGCAUGCUUACACAUGCAAGUCGAACGGUAACAGGGUGCUUGCACCGCUGACGAGUGGCGAACGGGUGAGUAAUGCGUCGGAACGUGCCGAGUAGUGGGGGAUAACGCAGCGAAAGUUGUGCUAAUACCGCAUACGUACUGAGGUAGAAAGUGGGGGACCUUCGGGCCUCACGCUAUUCGAGCGGCCGACGUCUGAUUAGCUAGUAGGUGAGGUAAAGGCUCACCUAGGCGACGAUCAGUAGCGGGUCUGAGAGGAUGAUCCGCCACACGGGGACUGAGGCACGGCCCAGACUCCUACGGGAGGCAGCGGUGGGGAAUUUUGGACAAUGGGCGAGAGCCUGAUCCAGCCAUGCCGCGUGUCUGAAGAAGGCCUUCGGGUUGUAAAGGACUUUUGUCAGGGAGGAAAUCCCUAGUGCUAAUAACACUGGGGGAUGACAGUACCUGAAGAAUAAGCACCGGCUAACUACGUGCCAGCCGCCGCCGUAA